rnacentral:rRNA from 1 species
ACGGGGGUGGCGAGCGUUGUCCGGAAUCACUAGGCGUAAAGGGCAAGUAGGCGGAAUAAUAAGUCGGAUGUCAAAUCCACCGGCUCAACCGGUGACCGGCAUUCGAUACUGUUGUUCUAGAGUAAGGUAGAGGAAGACGGAAUUCCUGGUGUAGCGGUGGAAUGCGCAGAUAUCAGGAAGAACACCAGUGGCGAAGGCGGUCUUCUGGGCCAUUACUGACGCUAAAUUGCGAAGGUGCGGGUAUCAAACAG